UGCUUCCUAGGUUCCCCAAUCAGCAGCAAGGUUCUAUGGAAUCCUGAUUGGUCGGAGGGCAGGAUAAUCUAAGAAAGGAGCUUCUUAAACCAGGAAGAAAAGAAAAAGAGAAAAUGUGGAAGUGGACAAAGAAGGACUCAGUCAUGCAUCUGUUGGGUGGGGGGGAUUUCAUAAAGGCAGAGCCACUACCAAAAGGGCCCUGUCACAGGAUCUCCCAAGUGAAUUUGUUAAAUGACUAGGUGGGUGAACCGCUGUAUUGCAGAACUGCUGUUCCUUCCAGAACUUUAUCACUCCUCACUGUGUAAGAGGCAAAACGGCAAUUGUAUUUUCUCUUUCUAGCCACCAAUAAAAGGAAACUGACCAGGAGAA